GGCCACAUCUGCCAGAGCCUGGAGUCUGCGAAGGCCGGGACCCGGUUCCCCGGCCCGCCGUGGGGAGUGUGCAAACCCGAGAGAACUGGUCGCUGAAACCUCUACAACUUAGUUGACCGUAACUGCCAGAGCCCUGCCCUGAAUUCCUGUCCUUACUCCCUCUUUCAGAUUGCGUACCCACUGCAGAGGGCUGAAGACGGGGUAGCCACGAGGUUGCAAAUUCGUGAAGAAUCAGCAGCAUGUUUGGCAGCUGAGUAUUGGAGCCAGGAGCCUGCCAUGAGGUUUUGAGAACAGGGUGCUGUUUUAGAGCUGGCAGCAGCAUCUCAGCCCAAGAGAAGGUAAGCCUUGAGCUGGCCAAUGAUCCCCCAACCCCAUAGUGGAAUGAAUAAACAGCUGAUCUUGUUAAAACUUGCUUCAAAAAUAAGAUAUCAAAUGAUGAAAUCACCCAAAAUAGCUGGAAUUACCGGCAGAUUGUGUAGUGGUGAACCUACGGUUUUCUGAAGAUAUCUCUUACCCUGUGAUUGACUGUCAGUUGGUGCAGAAAGUGAGAUUGAAAUGUAGUUUCUUUGCAGGUUAUAUUCCCAGAGGAUGUCAGUCCCAAGGACCAGUAGCUGCCAUCAGUUUGGAUUCUGAAAACUAACCGGCAUCAACAUUGGGUGUAGAAACAUGCUUGCCUUGUGUAUCAGAGGACAUGCUCAGCAGAUCCAAGAGAUAUAUUUGGCAACUUUUUCUAGAAAAGGCACAUUAGGUAUCAUUCAUUACAUUCUUGAG
rnacentral:antisense_RNA from 1 species